rnacentral:rRNA from 1 species
CGCGGUAAUACCGGUGGCUCGAGUGGUGGCGCUAUUAUUGGGUCUAAAGGGUUCCGUACCCGGCCUGAUAAGUACCUGGGAAAAUCCGGUGGCCUAACCAUCGGGCGGCCAGGUAAUACUAUCAGGCUCGGGACUAGGAGAGACCAGAGGUACUCAUGAGGUAGGAGUGAAAUCCUGUAAUCUUAUGAGGACCACCAGUGGUGAAGACGUCUGGUUAGAAUAGGUCCGACGGUGAGGGACGAAGGCUGGGGGCGCAAACCGGAUUAGAUACCCGGGUAGUCCCAGCAGUAAACGAUGCCAGCUAUGUGUUGCUGGAACCAUGGGUUCCAGCAGUGCCGAAGGGAAGCCGUGAAGCUGGCCACCUGGGAAGUACGGUCGCAAGGCUGAAACUUAAAGGAAUUGGCGGGGGAGUACCACAACCGGUGGAGCCUGCGGUUUAAUUGGAUACAACGCCGGGAAUCUUACCGGAGGGGACAGCAGUAUGAAGGCCAGGCUAAAGACCUUGCCAGAUCAGCUGAGAGGAGGUGCAUGGCCGUCGCCAGUUCGUACCGUGAGGCAUCCUGUUUAGUCAGGCAACGAUCGAGACCCGCAGUCUUAUUUGCCAGCAUGCCCUUUGGGGUGUAUGGGUACA